rnacentral:rRNA from 1 species
UACGUAGGGUGCGAGCGUUGUCCGGAAUUAUUGGGCGUAAAGAGCUUGUAGGUGGUUUGUCGCGUCUGCUGUGAAAAUCCGAGGCUCAACCUCGGACUUGCAGUGGGUACGGGCAGACUAGAGUGUGGUAGGGGAGACUGGAAUUCCUGGUGUAGCGGUGAAAUGCGCAGAUAUCAGGAGGAACACCGAUGGCGAAGGCAGGUCUCUGGGCCACUACUGACGCUGAGAAGCGAAAGCAUGGGGGAGCGAACAGG